CGAACGGGUGAGUAACGCGUGGGUAACCUGCCUUAUAGCGGGGGAUAACUAUUGGAAACGAUAGCUAAUACCGCAUAACAAUAGAGAUUGCAUAAUCUUUAUUUGAAAGUGCCAACUGGUACACUAUGAGAUGGACCCGCGUUGUAUUAGCUAGUUGGUAGUGUAAUGGACUACCAAGGCGAUGAUACAUAGCCGACCUGAGAGGGUGAUCGGCCACAUUGGGACUGAGACACGGCCCAAACUCCUACGGGAGGCAGCAGUAGGGAAUCUUCGGCAAUGGACGAAAGUCUGACCGAGCAACGCCGCGUGAGUGAAGAAGGUUUUCGGAUCGUAAAACUCUGUUGUUAGAGAAGAAUGUUGAUUAGAGUGGAAAAUUAAUCAAGUGACGGUAUCUAACCAGAAAGGGACGGCUAACUACGUGCCAGCAGCCGCGGUAAUACGUAGGUCCCGAGCGUUGUCCGGAUUUAUUGGGCGUAAAGCGAGCGCAGGUGGUUUAAUAAGUCUGAUGUAAAAGGCAGUGGCUCAACCAUUGUGUGCAUUGGAAACUGUUAGACUUGAGUGCAGUAGAGGAGAGUGGAAUUCCAUGUGUAGCGGUGAAAUGCGUAGAUAUAUGGAGGAACACCGGUGGCGAAAGCGGCUCUCUGGACUGUCACUGACACUGAGGCUCGAAAGCGUGGGUAGCAAACAGGAUUAGAUACCCUGGUAGUCCACGCCGUAAACGAUGAGUGCUAGUUGUUUGGGGCUAUCCAGCCCUAAGUGACGCAGCAAACGCAUUAAGCACUCCGCCUGGGGAGUACGACCGCAAGGUUGAAACUCAAAGGAAUUGACGGGGGCCCGCACAAGCGGUGGAGCAUGUGGUUUAAUUCGAAGCAACGCGAAGAACCUUACCAGGUCUUGACAUACUCGUGCUA
rnacentral:rRNA from 1 species